GGCAUGGUUGUCGUCAGCUCGUGUCGUGAGAUGUUGGGUUAAGUCCCGCAACGAGCGCAACCCCUACGUUUAGUUGCUAACGCGUGAAGGCGAGCACUCUAGACGAACUGCCGUUGACAAAACGGAGGAAGGUGGGGAUGACGUCAAAUCAUCAUGCCCCUUAUGUUCUGGGCUACACACGUGCUACAAUGGCCGGUACAGACGGACGCAAAGCCGCGAGGUGGAGCAAAUCCUAAAAAGCCGGUCUCAGUUCGGAUUGCAGGCUGCAAUUCGCCUGCAUGAAGUCGGAAUCGCUAGUAAUCGCAGGUCAGCAUACUGCGGUGAAUACGUUCCCGGGCCUU
rnacentral:rRNA from 1 species